rnacentral:pre_miRNA from 1 species
GUGACAGAAGAGAGUGAGCACACAUGGUUGUUUUCUUGCAUUAAUUUCAUGCUUGAAGCUAUGCGUGCUUACUCUCUAUCUGUCUC